rnacentral:lncRNA from 1 species
AUCUCAAAUGAUUUCCACUAAAAGGAUUUUGGUUAAGGGGGUAUAGAAUUUGAACUUUGGUUUUACCAAGAGAAUAAACCGGUUUCAUAUUACACACUUGUAAUCUAUGACAUGACAUUAGAUAUAAUCUUACAUGAUAAGGGGUCAACAGUAAUUUUAUAUUAGUAUGUACUCGUAAGAAUACAACAUAUAUGAUUUCUGCAAACUCUAAGUAAAUUUCUAAUCCGAGUACAAAGAGAUGUAUUGUAGUUAUGAUGAAUUUUAUAUUACACUGUGAUAUUUUUAUGGUUUAGGUAUGUUGUAUCUGGGUUCUAAUUCAUAAUGCAGCAGUUAACAGCAAUGAAUGAUAAAGCGGCAAAUAAAUGCUAAAAACAUAUACGAUUGGUUAAGGGAAGAUUUGAUGUUUGGUUAAAUAAAACAAUUGAAUUUAGGAGGGUUGGUUUUAGUAUAAGCAUUGGUUUAGGCCAGUGGCAAUCUUUUGUAAAUAUUAGGAAAAAAUCUUUCCCAUAUCUCAAAUGAUUUCCACUAAAAGGAUUUUGGUUAAGGGGGUAUAGAAUUUGAACUUUGGUUUUACCAAGAGAAUAAACCGGUUUCAUAUUACACACUUGUAAUCUAUGACAUGACAUUAGAUAUAAUCUUACAUGAUAAGGGCUCAACAGUUAUUUUUAUAUUAGUAUGUACUCGUAAGAAUAUAACAUAUAUGGUUUCUGCAAACUCUAAGUAAAUUUCUAAUCCGAGUACAAAGAGAUGUAUUGUAGUUAUGAUGAAUUUUAUAUUACACUGUGAUAUUUUUAUGGUUUAGGUAUGCUGUAUCUGGGUUCUAAUUCAUAAUGCAGCAGUUAACAGCAAUGAAUGAUAAAGCUGCAAAUAAAUGCUAAAAACAUAUACGAUUGGUUAAGGGAAGAUUUGAUGUUUGGUUAAAUAAAACAAUUGAAUUUAGGAGGGUUGGUUUUAGUGUAAGCAUUGGUUUAGGCCAGUGGCAAUCUUUUGUAAAUAUUAGGAAAAAGUCAGGGUUAAUUCAUUUUUGUACUCCUGUUUUAAUAGAUUAGAUUGAAUUUAGGAGGGUUGGUUUUAGUGUAAGCAUUGGUUUAGGCCAGUGGCAAUCUUUUGUAAAUAUUAGGAAAAAGUCAGGGUUAAUUCAUUUUUGUACACCUGUUUUAAUAGAUUAGAUAUGAAAUGUAAUGAUUGUAGUUUCCUUGGAUAUGUAAAAGGGCUGUUUUAAUUUCUCUCUUUUCAUGUUCUUUCACUGUCUCUAUGAAUAAUCUCAGCAGCUUGUGAUCAUUACUUAUGAAACGAACCACAUAGUUUUGCUAAAAGCAAUUAACAUCUGCACAAAUAGCAGACGAACAAAAACAUUGUUGUUGAAGGAAUAACAACUACACAUAGGGAUUAAUGUCAAACACAUCUCAAAAUAAUAUCUAAGUCAUAAGUUUACCCACCUAGUACUUUCAUUUUAUUUUCAUGUCUUCGUAAAAAAUAUCCUUGAAAUCAUACAAAUACAAACAAAAAUAUACAUACGUGAUACAUGUGUAUAUCUACGGGUGUAACGACAAUUCCCGUCAGGAAAAAGAGAGAGGGGAGAGGUGUUCUUUUUUCUUUUUCAAUCUUUUCCUUUUUCAUAUAAAGUGUACAAAAC